CGGCAGCCCGAGUGGUGAUCACUAUUAUUGGGUCUAAAGGGUCCGUAGCCGGUUUGAUCAGUCUUUUGGGAAAUCUGACAGCUUAACUGUUAGGCUUCCAAAGGAUACUGUCAGACUUGGGACCGGGAGAGGUAAGAGGUACUACAGGGGUAGGAGUGAAAUCUUGUAAUCCCUGUGGGACCACCAGUGGCGAAGGCGUCUUACCAGAGCGGGUCCGACGGUGAGGGACGAAAGCUGGGGGCACGAACCGGAUUAGAUACCCGAGUAGUCC
rnacentral:rRNA from 1 species